CCCAGCCAACCCAUCUUCAACUAGACAACCCAAACAACUCGGUUAGAGCAACCCGGACAGCUCGAUCCUGACACUAAUAGCUCAGACAUCACAUAAAAGCAACAUGACAGUAACUUUGAGCACUCAUAAAUACAUGAAACAACACAACAAGACAUAAAACAUUAUGGUAACAUAUAAAAAUAGCUUGGCACAUGCUUCUUACAUUAUGACAUCAAUUUAAACCACUCGGUGAAUGCAUAUCACACUAUGACCACA
rnacentral:lncRNA from 1 species